CCCGACCGCUAUCGGGGUAGGGCUAAGCCAUGCGAGUCGCGCGCCCGGGGGCGCCCGGGAGCGGCGCACGGCUCAGUAACACGUGCCCAACCUACCCUCGGGAGGGGGACACCCCCGGGAAACUGGGGCCAAUCCCCCAUAGGGGAAGGGCGCUGGAAGGCCCCCUCCCCGAAAGGACGGCGGCCGAUCCGCCGCCGCCCGCCCGAGGAUGGGGGCACGGCCCAUCAGGUAGUUGGCGGGUUAAAGGCCCGCCAAGCCGAAGACGGGUAGGGGCGGUGAGAGCCGCGAGCCCCGAGAUCGGCACUGAGACAAGGGCCGAGGCCCUACGGGGUGCAGCAGGCGCGAAUACUCCGCAAUGCGGGCAACCGCGACGGGGCUACCCCGAGUGCCGGGCGAAGAGCCCGGCUUUUGCCCGGUCUAAAACGCCGGGAGAAUAAGCGGGGGGCAAGUCUGGUGUCAGCCGCCGCGGUAAUACCAGCUCCGCGAGUGGUCGGGGUGUUUACUGGGCUUAAAGCGCCCGUAGCCGGCCCGGCAAGUCGCUCCUGAAAUCCCAGGGCUCAACCCUGGGGCAGGGGGCGAUACUGCCGGGCUAGGGGGCGGAAGAGGCCGCCGGUACUUCGGGGGU
rnacentral:rRNA from 1 species